AUUCAUUUGAAAAGACCUGGAUGCUCGGAAGGAUUGAAGGGAACUGAAGAAAUGGAGGAAUUUCUAUAAAACUUCACCAGAGAAAUAAUGAGACGUAGAAACCUGCCAAAUCUGGACAACAUGAAGCAAACGUUCAGCAAUACCCAUAAGGACUCUUCUCACUCCCUCCUCCAUCUUCUUCUCAAAAUACUAGGAAGAUGCUGAUGCCAAAGUUAGCAGGCUAAGUCUGCCUUGAAGAGCUUGGCAAACAGUGACUCCUGCGGCUUGUGGAGAGAAGCCUUCCUUGGUGUGCCCCGUUCCUGCCAGUCUCGUUCCACGAAGUACUGCAGGGACACCUGUGCGUCUUGACAGUGAGGUUUUAAGUUUAAGAAAUCCACAGUCAUCGCUUUGACACUU